rnacentral:miRNA from 2 species
CAGGGGGACUGGGGGUGAGC